rnacentral:rRNA from 1 species
CUUGCUCCCUGAUGUUAGCGGCGGACGGGUGAGUAACACGUGGGUAACCUGCCUGUAAGACUGGGAUAACUCCGGGAAACCGGGGCUAAUACCGGAUGGUUGUUUGAACCGCAUGGUUCAGACAUAAAAGGUGGCUUCGGCUACCACUUACAGAUGGACCCGCGGCGCAUUAGCUAGUUGGUGAGGUAACGGCUCACCAAGGCGACGAUGCGUAGCCGACCUGAGAGGGUGAUCGGCCACACUGGGACUGAGACACGGCCCAGACUCCUACGGGAGGCAGCAGUAGGGAAUCUUCCGCAAUGGACGAAAGUCUGACGGAGCAACGCCGCGUGAGUGAUGAAGGUUUUCGGAUCGUAAAGCUCUGUUGUUAGGGAAGAACAAGUGCCGUUCAAAUAGGGCGGCACCUUGACGGUACCUAACCAGAAAGCCACGGCUAACUACGUGCCAGCAGCCGCGGUAAUACGUAGGUGGCAAGCGUUGUCCGGAAUUAUUGGGCGUAAAGGGCUCGCAGGCGGUUUCUUAAGUCUGAUGUGAAAGCCCCCGGCUCAACCGGGGAGGGUCAUUGGAAACUGGGGAACUUGAGUGCAGAAGAGGAGAGUGGAAUUCCACGUGUAGCGGUGAAAUGCGUAGAGAUGUGGAGGAACACCAGUGGCGAAGGCGACUCUCUGGUCUGUAACUGACGCUGAGGAGCGAAAGCGUGGGGAGCGAACAGGAUUAGAUACCCUGGUAGUCCACGCCGUAAACGAUGAGUGCUAAGUGUUAGGGGGUUUCCGCCCCUUAGUGCUGCAGCUAACGCA